GUGUUUGCUUUGGAAACAGAGAUGCUAAAAUUGGAAUAAUGCAGAGAAGACUGGAAUGGCCCCCAAACAAGGAUGACAUGCAUAUUCAUGAAGCAUUCCAUAUUUUU
ensembl:snRNA Gm23242 U6 spliceosomal RNA